rnacentral:tRNA from 1 species
ACUAUUUUGGCAGAUAAGUGCAUUGGAUUUAGAAUCUAUAAAUGCAAGGAUUAACCUUGCAAGUAGUA